rnacentral:ncRNA from 1 species
UCCGAUAAUAGCAAACUCGUAGUAAUACGGGGACGCAAAACCAUGGGUCCAGGAUACAAGGAUCGCCAGGUUACCGAAG